UCCACACGCUCGUCCUCUUAGCCC
rnacentral:siRNA from 1 species